AUAUUGGACAAUGGGCGCAAGCCUGAUCCAGCCAUGCCGCGUGAGUGAUGAAGGCCUUAGGGUUGUAAAGCUCUUUCGCCGGUGAAGAUAAUGACGGUAACCGGAGAAGAAGCCCCGGCUAACUUCGUGCCAGCAGCCGCGGUAAUACGAAGGGGGCUAGCGUUGUUCGGAAUUACUGGGCGUAAAGCGCACGUAGGCGGGCAUUUAAGUCAGGGGUGAAAUCCCAAGGCUCAACCUUGGAACUGCCUUUGAUACUGGGUGCCUUGAGUUCGGGAGAGGUGAGUGGAACUGCGAGUGUAGAGGUGAAAUUCGUAGAUAUUCGCAAGAACACCAGUGGCGAAGGCGGCUCACUGGCCCGAAACUGACGCUGAGGUGCGAAAGCGUGGGGAGCAAACAGG
rnacentral:rRNA from 1 species